GCCAUAUUUCUCCAAUGUUGCUCGUGGCCAAAGAGGACCGACGCUCCCUUGCCGCGGAAGCUAACUAGCUACAGAGAGCCCGAAAAUACCCGACCUCCGCUCUGAAAGGUUCGACAAGGUGGCAAGCAGCUCAAUAAUCCUCAGAGGAGGCCAGGAAGGGGUCACGGAGACCCGAUGGAGACGGAUACGCUUGUAACUCUCCCCCAUAUCAGAGACAUUCUUACCUCUGCCGGAGCCUGCCCCAGGAAAAAGAAAGCUGCGGCAAUGACGGCACUACAAACUCCUUCCGGCCAGGACGGAAAGCGGCAAGCCAAGCCUUCUCGUGCUUGUUGGUUUUGAGGCCGCCCGAUUCCUCAAGUGCUCUGGCCGAUCUACGGAUAAAAAUUAAAAGAAAAGAAAAUACAUCAAGAAAAAAGACAGCUUCCCGGAGACCGAAACCCCGAAGCCAAAAAUAAAGGGGCUCGAUCGCCCAUCCUAAUAAA